CGCCUAGCAAUCAGUAGGAAGGGGACCCUAGUUAACCUUCUUCCAUAAUUAGGCAAGGGUCAGGCAGAAGGAUUGCGACAGCAAGCCAGCCACAAGACCUUCGAUCUAUGGUUUGUCUUGCCUACAAUGUGUUCUGGGACCAGAGACUAGCAAAAUUGUAACCGUAAAAGCAGACAGAUUUCAUCCAGCAACUGACAAGAGCAAAUGCAGAACUCCACAGUCCUAUAUUAGGUGGACCUCGAGGAGUCUUUCCUAGUAGGGAGAGAAAGAUGGAUUAGUGAAACCAGAGGGGACAGGGACAUCACAUGAACAUGUUAGAGAUGAUCAAAACCCAUGAAACUCGAUUUGCAGACAUCUAUGAGAAUGCAGAAAUGGAUGCUGGGAAUCAACUUGGAACGUCUGUGAGCAUGGUGUGUGCUGCUCAUUACUGAGCUUUGUCUUCUGCUUCGUGCUGACAUUUUAAUAGUCUACCUUGGAAAAUGCUUGACGUGAUGGACUCACAUAUCUUCAGUACAUCUUUUUAUCUCCCAUUUUGCAACUUCCAGUCCACAGUGCUUUGAUGGGCAUCCUGAUCAUUUUCCUGGCAGAUGUGUAAAGUAUAUAGAGACCUUAAAUCCAGAGUACUUGUGACUGGAGAGUAAUAUAUCUAUAAUGACCUUUUGUGUGUGCCAUCAUUAUAUUAAUAUGAGACAAUGACCCCGACUUUUUGAGUAAGGUUUGUUGAAUCUGUAACACAUGCUCCACAGCAUAGCAUGUACUGUUCCAGCUCAUAGUGAUUUUUGGUAAGACGAUGACAGUAACUAUGGGAAGCAUUCUUGAAGUUGUUUAGGUGUUUUCUUUGCUUGGACUUCCAGACAACCAUGACGGCUUGUUUCU